CCUACGGGAGGCAGCAGUGAGGAAUAUUUGUCAAUGGACGCAAGUCUGAACCAGCCAUGCCGCGUGCAGGAAGACGGCUCUAUGAGUUGUAAACUGCUUUUGUGCGAGGGCAAACGCAGAUACGCGUAUCUGUCUGAAAGUAUCGUACGAAUACGGAUCGGCUAACUCCGUGCCAGCAGCCGCGGUAAUACGUGGGAUUCAAGCGUUGUCCGGACUUAUUGGGUUUAAAGGGUGCGUAGGCGGUCGGAUAAGUUAGAGGUGAAAUCUCGAGGCUCAACUUCGGAAUUGCCUCUGAUACUGUUCGGCUAGAGAAUAGGUGCGGUAGGCGGAAUGUAUGGUGUAGCGGUGAAAUGCUUAGAGAUC
rnacentral:rRNA from 1 species